rnacentral:tRNA from 1 species
GGUCCUGUAGCUCAACUGGAUAGAGCAUCGCCCUUCUAAGGCGACGGUUCGGGGUUCGAGUCCCUGCGGGAUCA